AGUGAGGUGGCUGAGUGCCCUCUGUGGCACCCCAGGAGGCCGAGCUCUGCUUCUCCAAACUCCAGUGGUCAGACCUGCUCACGUCUAGGCAUUUCCUCGGGACCACCCUACCCCAGGACGGGGUGGGGUGCGGCACAUUCACCUGACACCGAGCCACCAUUCUGGCUCCAAGGCUGUGUCUCUCCCCUGAACUAGUGAAAGGGCUGACAGUGUUUUACUCCUGGACCUGCUCCCAGCUGCUUAUCUGAACCAUUGCUCUGCAAGGGCCUAUGCUGCGGCUGCACCCCUUCCUCUCCACAGUCACUGGGGCCUUGGACAAGUCGUUACUGACUGUGUUCAAGGGGGUGGAUCUCAGAAGGCUGUCAAGGCAGGCCUGUCGGCAGUUUCAGCUUUCAGCUUUGCUGGGCUGUGCUGUUUCAACUGUCACGACAUGGGCAUCUGCAAAGCUGCUGUCAUGCUGUGGAAGCUC
rnacentral:lncRNA from 1 species